AUUGAACGCUGGCGGUAUGCCUUACACAUGCAAGUCGAACGGUAGAGGGGCAACCCUUGAGAGUGGCGAACGGGUGAGUAAUACAUCGGAACGUGCCCAGUCGUGGGGGAUAACGUAGCGAAAGCUACGCUAAUACCGCAUACGACCUGAGGGUGAAAGCGGGGGAUCUUCGGACCUCGCGCGAUUGGAGCGGCCGAUGGCAGAUUAGGUAGUUGGUGGGGUAAAGGCCUACCAAGCCUGCGAUCUGUAGCUGGUCUGAGAGGACGACCAGCCACACUGGGACUGAGACACGGCCCAGACUCCUACGGGAGGCAGCAGUGGGGAAUUUUGGACAAUGGGCGAAAGCCUGAUCCAGCCAUACCGCGUGCGGGAAGAAGGCCUGGUU
rnacentral:rRNA from 1 species